rnacentral:rRNA from 1 species
UACAGAGGGUGCUAGCGUUAAUCAGAUUUACUGGGCGUAAAGGGCGCGUAGGUGGUAAAGCAAGUAAGAUGUGAAAGCCCCGGGCUUAACCUGGGAAGUGCAUCUUAAACUGCUUAACUAGAGUAUGGUAGAGGGUAGUGGAAUUUCCGGUGUAGCGGUGAAAUGCGUAGAUAUCGGGAGGAACACCGGUGGCGAAGGCGGUUCUCUGGGCCUUACCUGGCGCUGAGGAGCGAAAGCGUGGGGAGCGAACAGG